CUCGUCUCCAAAGUCUGACUCAUGGAUAAGCUCUCCGAGACUCAGUUCGGCAAACUACAACUAAAGCCAGAACAUUUAAGCACAACGAUGAUCGCACCAGAAAGGAUCCAACAAUUCAUCGAUUCAAACAUGCAGGAAUCUGUCAUUGUUAAUCGGGAGGUCCUCAAAAGUGCACUGAGCGAGUUCAGCAUUGCAAUCAAUCAAGCUUUUGUCAA